rnacentral:rRNA from 1 species
GACGAACGCUGGCGGCGUGCCUAAUACAUGCAAGUAGGACGCAGUUGCGAACGGGUGAGUAACGCGUAGGGAACUGACUAUUAGAGGGGGAUAACGAUUGGAAACGAUAGCUAAUACCGCAUACUAGUAGAUGGACCUGCGUUGUAUUAGCUAGUAGGUAGGGUAAUGGCCGACCUAGGCGACGAUACAUCGCCGAACUUAGAGGGUGUUCGGCGACACUGGGACUGCGACACGGCCCAGACUCCUACGGUAGGCAGCCGUAGGGAAUCUUCGGCAAUGGGGGGAACCCUGACCGAGCAACGCCGCGUGAGUGAAGAAGGUUUUCUGAUCGUAAAGCUCUGUUGUUAAGGAAGCGGUACUUAACCAGAAAGGGACGGCUAACUACGUGCCAGCAGCCGCGGUAAUUC